CUCAAUCCUUAACAAUUACACAAGGAAGCAAAAGGAAAUCAGAAGGCUCUUCUCCAGGUUUGUCCUACCAAAGUUGUACUGUGGAAGAGACCUGAGUGAAAACAACUCUGAGGAAUAUUUCCAUGCUGUGUGUGCAAUGGAUGAAAGCUGCAUAGCAGUUAACUGGAAAUGCCACCUGUUAUACCUCUCCAAAGACAGGAGAGGAGUAGUAAUUUUCAAGAGUACCAAAAUGGUUAGGCUGCCACUUAACUAGACCAGUCAAAAAGAGUAAAAUGUAAAAGACAAAGCUAUCAUAUUACCUCUGAAAACACAAGUUCUCUAUCU